rnacentral:rRNA from 1 species
CCCUUAGAUGUUCUGGGCCGCACGCGCGCUACACUGAUGCAUUCAACGACCCUAUCCUUGACCGACAGGUCCGGGUAAUCUUUGAAUCUGCAUCGUGACGGGGAUAGAUUAUUGCAAUUAUUAAUCUUCAACGAGGAAUGCCUAGUAGGCGCAAGUCAUCAGCUUGCGUCGAUUACGUCCCUGCCCUUUGUACACACCGCCCGUCGCUCCUACCGAUUGGGUGUGCUGGUGAAAUGUUCGGAUCGGCCGUUUGUCGCGGUUUCCGCGUCAUGUGGCUGAGAAGUUCAUUAAACCCUCCCACCUAGAGGAAGGAGAAGUCGUAACA